GACAACCCAGAGGUCCACACAUUCACAGAUACACAAACACAGACACACAGACACACAAGAGCGAGGGUCUCCUGGCUAUAUCGAAGCCAAUUAAUUCCUGGGCUGUGAAGUUCGCAGCUGACCCUAAGCAAAGGACAGCCUGAAUGAGCACCUUUAGAUUUCCUUACAAAUCAAGUAUAGUAUUGCUGUGAUAAACAGAUUCGGGAAAACAUGCCAGAUUUCAAGAGCAUUUUAAUGACUAAUUGGAGAGACUGAGUAGGUAGCAAAUAUUUGGCUAGCAUUACCCACCCUCAGACAGUGCCGGUGAAAGAAAAGCCUUGGAAUGAUGAGCUAUUUAUAACACUGUUUUAAAAGGUUACCUUGUUGAAAUGCAACAUCUCAUUAGGAGUUAAAUCCUGGAACCGGCUGGGAAAAAAGUGGUACUUGAAAAUAACAUGUUGUCAGGGUAGCGAGGAAAUGCUAGCGUGCGACUGUCUGUCUGUGAAGUGAGCAUACGACCGCAAGGACGGGAUCUUCUGUGGUGAGAAAUCCUGCCGCUCUCCUGAGCCCAGGAGCCCUUACAGACGGCAGAGCAGAGCGAUGUGUCCUUAAUGCAGUAAGGUAAAAUAUUACAUGACAGGGCACAAGAAAACAUGUUCCUCUAAAAAGCAAAUUGACGGAAUCUGUCAUUUUAGAAAGCUAAAAUUAUCGAGGACUCUUCAUGUCUCGAGGAAAAUAAUGGAGAGGAAAUGUCAGGCACUGCGGUUUUCCCGAAUAGGCUUUAGCUCGGAUACAUCAGAAGUCAGUUUUUAGGAAAGUCGAUUUUUCACACAUUUACAGAAAUAAUUCGCUUCAGAUCUGCAAUGAAGGCUUGAAACCACAUGCGUUUUUGAAACUGCCAAUCCAGGAUACUGUCUGGGGUAUCUUUUUUUUAAAAUACCUAAAUUAGAUGUAUGCAGAAUGUGGAAAUAGCAGAUAACAGGCAAUGUGGAAGUAAUAAAGACAAAAAUGUCAAAGGCGCUUUCUUUGAGCCCGUCCCUCCCUCCAGACACAGUGAAGUGUGGGGGAAAGCAGAACAAAACUAAAAAAGAGCCCGUGUCCUCUGACGCUGGAGCAAAGGGCAGGGAACCGAGCCAGCACAGUCCAGAGGGUCCCACAAGGGGACACAUGGGGGGUCCUGGGGAAGGAGGCGGGAGGCGCAGGGACCUCGCAGUGGUUCUGGCUCUGGUGUCUGUGCACGAAGAGGCCCGCCUGGAACCUUCCCGGGGCUCUCCUUCCAGGGUCUGUCUGCUUCAUCCCAUUGUGGGAGAUGUUCCUUAAAAGUACGUGGUGUGUCGGGCGAAGAUUUUUCUGGAUGGCCAGCACUUGACAAGAAUACCACACAUCUGACUGUGCAGGCAGAGAAGCCUUUCUGUUUGAGUCAUUGAAAGGCUGGGUGGGGGAAUUUGUGAGCACCUAAUAAUAGGAUUUCAAAAAUCCUUUUUUAUUUAUUUUGAGCACAUUUCAGUAGCAGAGGCAUUGUUCUUGAAUAGCCCAUGCACUAUAAACGUAGCCGCAGUGUUCAGUAGGCACAGAGCUUUAGUUGUAUAUAUGGAAAUGUAUUUAAAUGUUUUCAGCAUUUGUCCUGAAAUAUAUUUUUUAUGUUGCCAAUUUACACUGUAGAGAUGCAAAGAUUUAAUGGACAAGGACAGACUUUAUCGCAGCUCUGCUCGGAGUUAAUGAGUAAAAAUUCUGAAAUUAGUAAUAUCUAAAAACUCAGUCCCUUUCAAUGUCUUAAGAAGUUCCCCUGACUGAGUGUAAGCUUCUAGUUAAUAGCAAUCAUACUACUACUCUUUAGUUUGUAGAAGGUUUUGCAAAGAAUACCAAAUACUAGAAUCCAUGCCCUUGAAAGUAUUAAACUUGUUUUUCCUUUCAUUAAAAAAAAAUACUUGUUUGAUUCUGUUAGAAUACCUGUGAAAACCAUUUUACAAAAUUUUAAUGAUGAGAUCUUGAUUGAGCAAGUCUCUCCUAAUUUCCUAGAAACCAUUAAUUAAAAUUUCAAAGUAUCAACCUCUGUGUUACAUAUUCAUCCAAAAAAAAUGUAUUAUUUAGACAACAAACGCUGUUGCCUUGCGAUAGGUUAUUUUUUUUCAAGUGAGCCAACACCACGGAAUAAAAUAUAUGAUCUGUCGUGGCUGACUCA
rnacentral:lncRNA from 1 species